rnacentral:rRNA from 1 species
GACGUAGGGCGCGAGCGUUGUCCGGAUUUAUUGGGCGUAAAGAGCUCGUAGGCGGCUUGUCGCGUCGACUGUGAAAACCCGCGGCUCAACCGCGGGCCUGCAGCCGAUACGGGCAGGCUAGAGUUCGGUAGGGGGAGACUGGAAUUCCUGGUGUAGCGGUGAAAUGCGCAGAUAUCAGGAGGAAUACCGAUGGCGAAGGCAGGUCCCUGGGCCAAUACUGACGCUCAUGCACGAAAGCGUGGGGAGCAAACAGG